GGCCUUGGAAUGCUUGUUGAACAGGUAAUAUUCUAUCUAAAGUUGUUAGCAAUGCAAAUUUAGGUAGUGUUUCAUUUGUUGUUGACUUGUUUAUUCCAAAUGACUUCAAAGCUUUAUUAAGAAUUCAGUUCUAUACUUGUUUUAUGGUUUUAUCAAUAUCCCCUGCGUCAAUGAUAGGAAACUUGUUCACCAUUACGUAAAGCCAUAAAUUGUUAGAAAAACUGCAGUUAUACCAUUAUGAACCUCCACCUUGCACUCUGAAUCUGAAGUGCUCUCUUAUAUAAAUAAAAGUGG
rnacentral:misc_RNA from 1 species